GAUGAACGCUGGCGGUGUGCCUAACACAUGCCAGUCGAGCGAACGUACGAGAAGCUUGCUCUUCUGAUGUUAGCGGCGGACGGGUGAGUAACCCUUUGAUAACCUACCUAUAAGACUGGGAUAACUUCGGGAAACCGGCGCUAAUACCGGAUAAUAUUUUGAACCGCAUGGUUCAAAAGUGAAAGACGGUCCUGCUGUCACUUAUAGAUGGAUCCGCGCUGCAUUAGCUAGUUGGUAAGGUAACGGCUUACCAAGGCAACGAUGCAUAGCCGACCUGUAAGGGUGAUCAGCCGCACUGGAACGGAGACAAGGUACAGAGUCCUACGGGAGGCAGCAGUAGGGAAUCGUGCGGAAUGGGCGAAAGCCUGACGGAGCAACGCCGCGGGAGUGAUGAAGGUCUUCGGAUCGUAAAACUCUGUUAUUAGGGAAGAAAAUAUGUGUAAGUAAAGGUGCACAUCUUGACGGUACCUAAUCAGAAAGCCACGGCUAACUACGUG
rnacentral:rRNA from 1 species